AAACGGAAAAGGCAAACCACUCGAAAGGGUGGGACGCAAAGUCAUGGGUUUAAGGUGCUCGUAAGAGUGCUAUGAUCGCCAGACUGCCAAU
rnacentral:ncRNA from 1 species